GGUCCUUAAUGGAACAAUUUAAUGUUAUAAAUGUAUUUAUAACAUUAAGGUGUUCUUGGUGGUAGGCAUAUGCAUGGGAAAAAUUUUCGGUUCGGCAUUCCGAAAUUCGGGACUUCGGCUCUUCGUCAACUUCACCACUUUGAAACUUCGCCACUUCGGAAUUUCGGUAACUUUGGCACUUCAACACUUCGGAACUUCGGAACUUCAGCAACUUUGGCACUUCGACACGUCGACACUUCGGAAUUUCGG